rnacentral:rRNA from 1 species
AUUGAACGCUGGCGGAAUGCUUUACACAUGCAAGUCGAACGGCAGCACGGACUUUGGUCUGGUGGCGAGUGGCGAACGGGUGAGUAAUGUAUCGGAACGUGCCCAGUCGUGGGGGAUAACGUAGUGAAAAUUACGCUAAUACCGCAUACGAUCUAUGGAUGAAAGCGGGGGAUCGCAAGACCUCGCGCGAUUGGAGCGGCCGAUAUCAGAUUAGGUAGUUGGUGGGGUAAAGGCCCACCAAGCCAACGAUCUGUAGCUGGUCUGAGAGGACGACCAGCCACACUGGAACGGGGACACGGUCCAGACUCCUACGGGAGGCAGCAGUGGGGAAUUUCGGACAAUGGGCGAAAGCCUGAUCCAGCCAUUCCGCGUGCAGGAUGAAGGCCCUCGGGUUGUAAACUGCUUUUGUACAGAACGAAAAGGUUUCUACUAAUACUAGGAGCUCAUGACGGUACUGUAAGAAUAAGCACCGGCUAACUACGUGCCAGCCGCCGCAGUAA